rnacentral:snoRNA from 1 species
CCUCUGUGAUGAGUUGCCAUGCUAAUACUGAAGCACCAGUGCUCUGCACUGGGUGUUCCUGAGUUAAACUUCACUUCUCUUGUAGACAUCUGAGGGGC